UACAAAACAUGAAAACAACUGCCCUCAGCUGCUCCUGGGGUCUCUGUAUUCCGACUGCAGCUGUGGAGAAUUGUUGUUGAAUUCCAUUCUCCAUGUUGCUCUAAAAGCAUUUCAAAGAGGUUCAGAGAAAGCCGGGUGCACUUUGGAGAUUUUAGAAGAAGAAAAAAGAAAGAUGAAGAAGGAGCAGACACUUCUGUUUGCCAUAUACCUGCUUCUCAAGAACUACAUGAAGAAAACCUGGCUCACACAGAAAUGUACGAAGAGAGAGACAGGGGUAUGUAUUUUAAUAGUCUUUUCAGAUAACUAUAGAUAUUCUCCUUUGACAUGACAUCAAAACUCAAUAGUGCUGAUUUAAUAUUACACUAAAACUCAACAAGUGCUAAUGAAGAAUCUGAAACCAUUAUCAAUUAACUUUUCAGAUUCUGUUACUAUUAAAAUCCAUUAAUGUGUCUUGUAUUCUGAAUGAAACUUUUACCCAUGCAUAAUUUUACAACCUCAUGCCUUGGUCACUUGGAAAAUAGUGAUUUAUUGAGUUAUGCAGAUCUUCCAAAUGAACACUGGAAAACUCCACUCCACGUUUACAAGAAACUAAGAGUAGAAAGGGAGACAACAUCUCAGUAUUAUUAUGAAAGUAAUAGUUUUGACCUUGGGGACCUCCAACGGUCCCUGGACCACACUCUGAGAAUUGCUGGGUUAACCCAUCACAUAAAGUAAUAGCUGUGGAUGUGUAAUUUAGACAAUUGUCAGCUCUCUCAGGUGAAUGACUUACCCAUUUAGGUAACACAUACUACUACUCCUUCCAAACCUUCAAAGCGAGAAUGGGUAGUGAGUGUGGGUCUGGAUAGAGGACUAGGGCCAAUAAAACUCUCUAUGAACAACUCAUCCCUGCCCCUACCAACAUCCUGGAAAUUUUUCAAUACAAGCAAUGCUGUGCUGGUAAAUGUUUAACAGCCAGCUCUCCAGGUAAAAAACAAAACAAAACCAAAAAAAGGCCCCAGUUUUUAGCAUUUGCCAAUUCUUGUUGUGUAAAAGCUUCCACUGUGGCUGAUUUCAAACUACCAACAGGACAUCACUGAACAAGUUGCUGGGACAAGAUGUGCACAAUUGAUUCUCACGAGCUGAUGUGAGCCAGCUCCAGCACACCACUGAGAAAGAGACAUAGACCCACCUCUCAGUGGGAGCAGUAUCAAAGAAUUUGCAAUCAUUUUGUUUUAGCUUCUGCAUUCUACCCUUUGGCCAUAGAUAAUUUACAUUCCUGUGACACACGAGAGGCAGUCUCGUCCCAUUACAGUAUUAGACGUAGGCUCAGGUCCAGUAUCUAGUCAUCUAGACCAGGCCCAGGUGUGGAUGAGGCUCCUCAAGUGUUAUUGUCAGAUAGAGUUUCUGUUGCUUUUGAAGAACUGUGAGCUAAAAAGACAAAUUAUUUGCCUCUAUCAUAACCAACAAACUAUAUACCCUACAUGCAGCGGUGAAACCAAGCUAGGAUCACUAACUAGACACUCAUUCAAAAAGCAUGGGAAUGCAAGGCACAGUGCA